rnacentral:rRNA from 1 species
AGUGGCGGACGGGUGAGUAACGCGUGGGUAACCUGCCCUGUACAGGGGGAUAACAGCCGGAAACGGCUGCUAAUACCGCAUAAGCGCACGAGGAGACAUCUCCUUGUGUGAAAAACUCCGGUGGUACAGGAUGGGCCCGCGUCUGAUUAGCUGGUUGGCAGGGUAACGGCCUACCAAGGCAACGAUCAGUAGCCGGUCUGAGAGGAUGAACGGCCACAUUGGAACUGAGACACGGUCCAAACUCCUACGGGAGGCAGCAUG